rnacentral:lncRNA from 1 species
AAAACCUCCGGGAGACAGCACAAGGCAAGCACCGAUAGGCAUCCUUUGCUUUGGGCUACAUGAUGGUUGGAGUCGUGGGGUGAGUAGCUUGUCUGGAAGACAGGGGUGAACCUUGGCUGAAGCAGGGACAGUGGUUGGGAGUAAGUAUGUGGUAAAUGGAUGGGAACAGCAGUGCUAGCUUGGGUAGUGUGCAAAGAAAUGGGGUCGGAGGGCCUAGGGGACACACAUUUUAAUGAGAGGACUAUACCCAAGUCUGUAGCAUUCAGGUCCCUUCCUGCUCAUCCUGCUUUUGUUUCUCUCACAGAAAGCUAUUGUCUGCACACCUGGCCAUCAAGCUAUGCUAUGCACACCUGGUCUUCAAGCUAUGAUCUGAACAUCUGGCUGUCACGCUACGAUCUGAACACACAGCCAUCGAGCUAUGCUCUGCACACCUGCUCCAUGAGUGACCCACCUGACUGUCUACACAGCUCUGGAGGUGAUCAUUCAAUUGUCUUCAUAGCUCCAGAAGUGACCUACCCAACUGUCUACGCAGCUCCGAGAGUGGAUUCUCACCUCUGGAUUGCACCUAAAACCGAAAGAAGGGAUUCAAAGAAGUUGUAUGUCAGUGUGGCCGUGACAAGCAGUAGCCACCAAAUCCUAAUGGCAAGAAUGCCUGGCAAGGC